rnacentral:rRNA from 1 species
AUUGAACGCUGACGGCAUGCCUUACACAUGCAAGUCGAACGGCAUCGCGGGAAAGCUUGCUUUCCUGGCGGCGAGUGGCGAACGGGUGAGUAACACAUCGGAACGUACCGGCUAGUGGGGGAUAACCCGUCGAAAGACGGGCUAAUACCGCAUACGCUCUUCGGAGGAAAGCAGGGGACCUUUGGGCCUUGCGCUAGCCGAGCGGCCGAUGUCCGAUUAGCUAGUUGGUGGGGUAAAGGCCUACCAAGGCGACGAUCGGUAGCGGGUCUGAGAGGACGAUCCGCCACACUGGGACUGAGACACGGCCCAGACUCCUACGGGAGGCAGCAGUGGGGAAUCUUGGACAAUGGGGGCAACCCUGAUCCAGCAAUGCCGCGUGGGUGAAGAAGGCCUUCGGGUUGUAAAGCCCUUUCGGCAGGGAAGAAAUCGGCGGGGCGAAUAACCCUGCUGGAUGACGGUACCUGCAGAAGAAGCACCGGCUAACUACGUG